CAGAGGGGGCAAGCGUUGCUCGGAAUUACUGGGCGUAAAGGGCGCGUAGGCGGGAUGGCAAGUCGGUCGUGAAAUCCCUCGGCUCAACCGAGGAACGUCGAUCGAUACUGCUGUUCUUGAGGAUUGCAGAGGAGACUGGAAUUCCCGGUGUAGCGGUGAAAUGUGUAGAGAUCGGGAGGAACACCGGUGGCGAAGGCGGGUCUCUGGGCAAUUCCUGACGCUGAGGCGCGAAAGCGUGGGGGAGCAAACGGGAUUAGAUACCCCGGUAGUCCACGCCGUAAACGAUGAGCACUAGGUGUGGGGGGGUUCAGUCCCUUCCGUGCCGCAGCUAACGCAUUAAGUGCUCCGCCUGGGGAGUACGGCCGCAAGGUUG
rnacentral:rRNA from 1 species